CUGUCACAAAGCAAGCUGAACGCUGAAGCUGAACCCUUGCAGCUAUUUUGGCACAAAGUCAAAAGGCUGAUAAGCAUUUUUGGGUGAGACUACGCUGCUUUUCCUCGAGGAAAAACAGCUGCCACUCGCUCAGUGACGUGCAUUCAACAGUUCCGAGAAAAUUUCGAGAGAAACCCCAAGAGAUGCUGAUUUGUCCUGUUUAAAAUGGAGGAGGGAUAAAAAAGAAAACAUGACGGUCUAAACAAUUUGUUCAGACCGAAUCCAUGCGCUGAGCGUAAACCGGACAGCGAGAGAAGUAGAGGGAGAGACCUAAACAGCAUGGCUGUUGCCACCAUCUUAGAUUGUAUUGAUUAUUCUUUGCUGUAACGUCUGUCUCUCUCACACACGCUAGCUCUCUUUCUCUCCCUUUCUGUCCCUCCCUCCCUCUUUCUGCCUCUGUUCUGCCACCUCUACUCGGCGAUCAGCAUUUGGCUUUUUCCAUUUGUGGCAGAUUACUGUAACGCUAUUGUACAACAACUUCCUGCCUCUUUUGGCUCUGGUUCUAAAAACUGCAAAGGCAGAGCUCGUGGCUUUAAACUUUUUCCCCUCGGCCUUGAACUACAGGAACUCUAUAAGGAAAGAAAGGGAGGAAGGAGAUAUGUAAAGUGUAUCUGUUACUGAGGAACUAUUUUUAUUGCAUUUCUGCUUUAUAAACUGCUGAGAAUUAAAGAGGGCAAGAGGGGACUACAUGCCUAGCAGAGACAAUGAAAGAAAAAAAAGGAUUCUGAAAGAAGAAGAGGAGAAAAAGAGAGACAGAGAGAAAAAGAGCAAGGGAGAGCUUCUCCUGGGAACAAGCUGGAAAUUAUGGACCUAUUCGAUAUCAGACCUCAGAGUGGACAACCUAUCCAAAGAGGGACGCGCCCUAACUGUAACUAACAACUACUUCUGGCAGCCCCUCAACAGCCAAACAUAUUGUCCUGGAUCAGGGCAGCUUUCGUAUGGCAGCAUUCAACUAGGGCAGCUUAGGCAAGAAAUCCACAUUAAACUACAGAAUCGAUAAUGAUAUUAAAAUGCUGAUAACAAUUCACAAAAUUUACACUGAAUGUGCUUAUUUAUGAGAUAUAGGAUAUUAGAUGGAGCUGUAAACUAUGAGCUCUUCAAGAUUUCUCUCAUCAAACUUGCAUAUAAAGCAGACUACAUAAAAUUAUAGCUUAUACGAGGAUUUUCACACCUUGAACCAGCUGAGACAUUAAGUCAGUGCAGAUUAUUUAUUUAACAUAAAUAUUAUAACGUAAAUGUUUUCGAGAUUUUUUUUACUCCUGUGGUAUUCUACGACCCGAAAUCAGACGCUGAUACUGACAUAACCUCACUAUCUAAGUCUGAAGAUCUAAGUUUUCAAUCGAGGCUCUGUGACAUAACUACAUUAUACCAGAAGUAAACAGAAGUAUGUUAUAAAUUAAUAUAUCAGAUGAGAUUAAUUAUAAUACUAAAUUAUCUAAUGAUUAAAGAUUAAUUGAACUCCUUUAAAUAGAGUGACUAUUUAUUAAUUGUAAUACCCAUGUUAUUGUCAUCACAAGAGAUAUUUCAAUGUAAUAAAAAUGUUAUAUUAUUUUAGCUACAAAGAUGUUAUGUGGUGUUACCUACACCACACUGAAAAUACUCAUAUAAGGCACUAAGUUAACUGAAGUACCGGGACAAAUUCUCAAAAGUCAAUGACGCGUAAUAAUAAAAAAGUAAAUUCUCCUUUUCUGUCCACUUGACCAGCCUGCGCCGGGCUUCUACAUACCUGAGCUCCCCCUUUGCAGUUUUCCCCUGAGGGCUGCUAAUACCUACUUUAAACAGCCUUGGCCAUUUUGUUUUAUUCUUCCUCAACACUAAGCCAGGAGUGCACAGGCCUGGCAUUUUAGGGGCCACGUCACAACGCCUGUGUCUGCGCCGCAGGGCUGCAAGGAGUCCAGCAGCAGAGCCAUACGCACUCAGUGGUUCACUGCCUCAACAAACACUUUAAGCGUGCUGUUUUGUUAUCUUACACGCUCUCUCUAGCAUCCUUGCUCUACUGAGAACAGCAAAACACGCACCUAAUACGCUUUAUCCAUUUCAUAAACAUGCUCUCCACCUGGUGCCUUCUCCAACACAGAGCCACUGAGCCUUCAGCUCCUGAAUCACUUCAUACACUUCACUUUCUCUCUUCUGGUUACCACAGUAAAGUUAGCUCUGUUGCAAAAUAGCUUUGAGCAAAGACAACAGACAAGGUUGGAAAUAUUCUAGAUACACAUCCAAUUCAUGGUCAGUGCCAUUUAAUGAGGUUGAUAACUGCCUCUAUCUUUCUGCACAAUAAAUGUGGAAUCUAUUUAAAGGGGGAAACAAUACUGAUAUUGAUUUGAAAGUGACAAUGAUCAAAACACUGAUUAGAUAAAUUCCACUUGGUCUGACAGACUGUAAUUGAUGUGCAUAAUGUUAUUAGCAGAACGAUAUUUAGAAAAGCAAACGCUUCAUAGGACAGCUGCAUAAACAGAGGUUUUAUUACUCCAUGGGCUAUUUUAGUGGCUCUUUCAAUUCCAGUAAAAUAUUAUUUUUAAGAGGAGCAAAAUAAUAUGUGUUUAAGACAUGCUUCAAAUUACAAAGAAAACAAAGAUAGUGCCAACACUAUGCAUGUCCAAAAGUGUACAUUGCACAAAUGUAUUAUUAUAUUAAAUGCAUUAGUUCCUACACUGUCCUUAAGCUUUUCCUGUGCUUCUGUCCAUAUUUCAGUACAUGGUUAUCUGAGGACAUACUGUAAAGGGACAUUACACAGUACAGUAUAUAACACAGGACAGUAUAUAGAAGUCCAUUUCUGCGUUCUGAGACAAUAACUAGCUGGUGACUUUAAAUAGACAUCGGUUUAUACAAAUAUAAAGAUUUGUUCCAUUACUCUGUAUUAUGUUUGUGACCCUUUGACGAGCAAGUCGGCACCAAAAAAAGCUCGAUCAUCCGAGGACAUUCAGAUUUCACAAAGGAAUUGUUUCUGAAAACCCGAAACUUAUACGGAUAUACGCACAUUCUUUCAGGUAUUCCUGUGUGUUGACAGUCGGUUGAUUGAUGUGUUUAAAACAGAGGUUUGUAUCUAUGGUACAUUGGGUUGCUCCAACAGGUUAUAACAGAUACACUAAGCUACUGGGUACAGAAAAUAAAUAUGCAAAUGGAAUUCUUUUAAUGUUUUAAGUUGUCUGUUCUCAUUCUUGUGUAAAUGUGCAAUAACUUCUCACCUGGAAAUGUUCAAAGUUUGUGUUUUAUAUAAAGCCGUUUGAGCUGCCUUUAAUGUGAAGUGUGUGAUAAAAAUGUUUUUUUU